GGCACAGUGGUGCAGUGGUUAGCACUGUCGCCUCACAGCAAAAAUGUUGUGGGUUCGAACCUGGCCUGGGGCC